rnacentral:rRNA from 1 species
UACGUAGGGGGCAAGCGUUGUCCGGAUUUAUUGGGCGUAAAGAGCGUGUAGGCGGCUUUGCAAGUCCGUUGUGAAAACUCGAGGCUCAACCUCGAGACGCCGGUGGAAACUGCAAAGCUAGAGUCCGGAAGUGGAGAGUGGAAUUCCUGGUGUAGCGGUGAAAUGCGCAGAUAUCAGGAAGAACACCCGUGGCGAAGGCGGCUCUCUGGGACGGUACUGACGCUGAGACGCGAAAGCGUGGGGAGCGAACAGG